GGAGAGAUGCCGGAGUGGUUGAUCGGGGCGGUCUCGAAAACCGUUGUGGUUCUUACGGGCCACCGAGGGUUCGAAUCCCUCUCUCUCCGCCA
rnacentral:tRNA from 1 species